rnacentral:misc_RNA from 1 species
UCCGGUUUAACACCGGCAGUCUCCUCAGAGUCCCCAACUUAAUGAUGGUAACUAAGGACAAGGGUUGCGCUCGUUAUCGGACUUAACCGGACAUCUUACGACACGAGCUGACGACAGCCAUGCAGCACCUAUCACCAUGUCCCCGAAAGGAACGCCACAUCUCUGUGGUUGUCAUGGGAUGUUAAGGGUAGGUAAGGUUCUGCGCGUUGCUUCGAAUUAAACCACAUACUCCACCGCUUGUGCGGGCCCCCGUCAAUUCCUUUGAGUUUUAGCCUUGCGACCGUACUCCCCAGGCGGGAUACUUAAUGCGUUAGCUUUGGUACUCAGGAGGUUAAUGUCCCAAACACCUAGUAUCCAUCGUUUACGGCGUGGACUAC